rnacentral:rRNA from 1 species
AUUGAACGCUGGCGGCAUGCUUUACACAUGCAAGUCGAACGGAAGGGCCGGGUUCGGCCUGGCGGCGUGAGGAGCAAGGGUGUGUAAUGCAUCGGAGUGUGCCCCGCAGUGGGGGAUAGUAAGGCCAAAGACGGGGUAAUAACGCCUAAGAUCUGCGGGUGCAAGAGGGGGGUCGAAAGACAUUGUGCCAUUGGAGGGGGCGAGGUCGGAUUUGCUAGUUGGUGGGGGGAAGACUUACCAAGGCGACGAUUAGUAGCUGGUCUAAGAGGGCGACCGGCAACACUGGAAGUUAGACACGGCCCAGACUCCUACGGUAGGCCGCAGUAUGCAAUUGUAGACAAUGGGGGCAACCCUGACCCAGCCAUGCCGCGUGCGGGAAAAAAGCCUUCGGUUUGUAAACCGCUUCUGUUGGGGGUGAAAUCCUGUGGGCUAAGACCCCGAGGGGGUGACGGUACCGGGAAAAUAAGCACCGGCUAACUACGUG